rnacentral:tRNA from 1 species
GUGACCCUGGACGGGGGCGUCUGCGUCUUUUCGGGAGUCGACGAGGGCUUGUCCUUGUUGGAAGCCGGCGGGUCGCC